GUGCUAGCUUUGGCAGCACAUGUACUAAAAUUGGGACAACACAGAGAAGAUUAGCAUGGUCCCUGUGCAAAGAUGCCAUGCAAAUUUAUGAAGCAUUCUCUAUUUUA